rnacentral:rRNA from 1 species
GACGAACGCUGGCGGCGUGCUUAACACAUGCAAGUCGAACGAAAAGAGGGAAAGAGCUUGCUCUUUCCGGAAUUGAGUGGCAAACGGGUGAGUAACACGUAAACAACCUGCCUUCAGGAUGGGGACAACAGACGGAAACGACUGCUAAUACCGAAUAAGUUCCAAGGGCCGCAUGGCCCAUGGAAGAAAAGGUGGCCUCUACCUGUAAGCUAUCGCCUGAAGAGGGGUUUGCGUCUGAUUAGCUGGUUGGAGGGGUAACGGCCCACCAAGGCGACGAUCAGUAGCCGGUCGGGGAGGAGGAACGGCCACACUGGAACGGGGACACGGCCCAGACUCCUACGGGAGGCAGCAGGGGGGAAUCUUCCGCAAGGGGCGAAAGCCUGACGGAGCAACGCCGCGGGAGUGAUGACGGCCUUCGGGUUGUAAAACUCUGUGUUCCGGGACGAAAAGGCAGAGUGCGAAGAACAAACUGCAUUGACGGUACCGGAAAAGCAAGCCACGGCUAACUACGUG